AUGCCGCUCUCCAGCCUGCCAUGGGUGUUUGUGGCCUUCAUCUGCUCUGGAUCCAGUGUGGCCCAGAAAGUUACUCAAGCCCAGUUAGCUAUAUCUGUUCAAGAGACGAAAGCAGUCACCCUGGACUGUGUAUAUGAAACAAGUUACAGCACAUACUACAUUUUUUGGUACAAGCAACUUCCCAGUGGAAAGAUCGUUUUUCUUAUUGGCCAGUAUUCUGCUAACGAGAAUGCAAAGUCCGGUCGCUAUUCUGUCAACUUCCAGAAAGCAGCUAACUCCAUCAGCCUCACCAUUUCAGCCUUACAGCUGCAAGAUUCAGGAACGUAUUUCUGUGCUCUCAGGGAACCCACAGUGUUGGAAGUGAUAGUAAAGGCUGAACAAAAACCCCAGUGCUCCAUAACAGAAAGCCCCCCGCUGCAGGAGCCAAGCUGA